rnacentral:rRNA from 1 species
GAUGAACGCUGGUGGCGUGCCUAAUACAUGCAAGUCGAGCGAAUGGAUUAAGAGCUUGCUCUUAUGAAGUUAGCGGCGGACGGGUGAGUAACACGUGGGUAACCUGCCCAUAAGACUGGGAUAACUCCGGGAAACCGGGGCUAAUACCGGAUAACAUUUUGAACCGCAUGGUUCGAAAUUGAAAGGCGGCUUCGGCUGUCACUUAUGGAUGGACCCGCGUCGCAUUAGCUAGUUGGUGAGGUAACGGCUCACCAAGGCAACGAUGCGUAGCCGACCUGCGAGGGUGAUCGGCCACACUGGGACUGAGACACGGCCCAGACUCCUACGGGAGGCAGCAGUAGGGAUUCUUCCGCAAUGGACGAAAGUCUGACGGAGCAACGCCGCGUGAGUGAUGAAGGCUUUCGGGUCGUAAAACUCUGUUGUUAGGGAAGAACAAGCGCUAGUUGAAUAAGCUGGCACCUUGACGGUACCUAACCAGAAAGCCACGGCUAACUACGUGCCAGCCGCCGCCGUAA